GGUCCUUGGCUGCUUUAGCUUUUUGGUGGCGCGUCUGUGUGAGUUCCAGCGUUUCCUGCUGUCCCUUCCCGGCCUGUGAAGUUACUGUUGAUGUUACCAAGUCAGUCUUUCGGGUGACUCGUUUUGGAAUUCCCAGCAUUAAUUUAGGACCCUUUGUAGCCGCACUGUGACAUCUGCCUUGGCACCAGGACAUGUUCCUAUCAUCUUUAUCCAGGCUGCAAAUGGAUGAGACACUUCUCUCCCUGCAACUUGGAAGCAAGCCCAGGGCAUUACAGCAGACCUGUCAAUGGGGGCUACCUCUGGGAUACGUAGUCGUCAACUGGGCAUCUUUCCUGGCCACUAUUCACCACGUUUGGACUGCACUGACCAGCUGCAAGUCCCCUGGAAGAGAAGCUUGCUUGGAUACCUUGCCUUGAUGCAGACUUCCCAUCACUAAUAUAGCACAGGGCUGACUAUGGCCUGUGAAAUUCUCCGCCACACCUAAUCCAAAGGAAUACAAAUGAGUCCAGGGGCCACAUGUGGGAGUCUUUGCUGGAAACCACGGAGAGGUCUUCUCAGAGACUGAGGUGACACAAGGAGAGGUGCGGAAGCAAACUGAUCAUCGGACUAACAAGGCACCUGGCCCAGAUGGUCCAUCCAAGAGUCCCGAAGGAGCUCAGGUUCAGCUCAGAGACCAGCUCAUUCCAGCAGAUGGUGUUUGGCUCGGGUGACCACCGGUGGGUCCUCUCUCUGAACCAGUCUGGGAUCGGGUGAGUUCCUUUCAGAAUAACCCCUGGGGUCUUUCAAGUAAAGAAUUGUGACGGGGCAGAUCACAGCGUUCCAGUAUUGGCAGAUGAAAGGAAAAGUCUCUCUCCGUGGGGACCCUGGCUGGUCCCCCGGCCCCAUGGAAAGCCGCUUGUAUAAGGGAUGGGGAGGGGUGGCAUUGGCGGUGUGUGCGCCAGGGAUCAGGGAUAGUUUGUCACCUGAUUGGUGGAGCUUUAAACCUACUGCUAAUGGAAACGCCUCCUGAUUUACGAACGAACGAGCACGCGUUGCGAACGAGCGCGCGUGGGCAGGUUCCCGCAGUUCCCUGCUUGGCUCCGCCCAGGGGCGGGGUGGUUCUCAGCAAUGGAUAAAUACAGGCUGCGCCGUUCCCUGUUCUUAAUGAAUGGAGCUGAUUUGAUUGAGAGCAACUCCUAGGGAAGUGGAGGCUCUGUUGUCUAUCGCGCUGGGCUCGUUGACCCAAGUGAGCCAGGGAACGGGCGGCUGCGAGAACAGCCCAGCGGGCUUCAGCCGAAGCCGGGCUCCUGGCAGGACUUGCUUUUAGCGCGCUUCGAGGGCCCCGAUCCUGCCCGAGCCGGGCUCUGUUGUUCUAGGCUCGGGCUGCUUCAAGGACUCCUGCGGCAGAUGGAGCCGUCAGCUUCUCCCCCUGCCCAGGCAACGCAGCCCGCGGGGCAGCCUCAUGGCAGCGGAGCCAGGCACAGUGUCAGUGGGGGGAGGUUUUCGCCUCCCUGCUCCUGCCUGUGUGAGCAGCACAAUCCUCUGUGCGCUCUGCCCCCUCCCCUGGCUGGGUUCUGUGUUUGGAUUGCACCUGCAGUGCUAACGGGAGGUGCUGCUGGGGGUCAAUAUGGGGCAGUAGGCGGUCAAGGGGCCAGUGCCCUGGCAAAGCCCCAGCUCCAGGAGCACCCCGACAGCAGCGAUGUGGAGGAGAUGGAGGUGGAGGAGAUGGGAGGAGGAGAAGAUGGAGAUGGGGAAACAGGAGUUCGAGAAGAUUCAGUUGUGGGGGAUUCCUGACCCGAUAGAUCCCACGGGGCCUCCUCAACUUGGUCCCAAGAGGGCUGGCAGAAUCUGCCAGCUGUUCUACCGUUCCAGAACAGAUGAUGUUGGUCAAUAUGCAGUGAACAAACCCCUGCGAAAGGAAGGCAAGAAACUCUGGACCAAGGCUCCUAAGCUCCAACCAUUGCUAAUUCCCCGAGUGCUCCAAGAGAGACUCAGACUUCUUGCUCUCAAGAGGCAACAACACUGAGAAGGACGAGGAGGAAGCAGCAGAAGAUGCAAACCUCUUGGCCAAGUGACUGAAGAAAGCCAACAAAACCCACCAGGAGACGAGAGCCAAGAUACAUCGACUGUCCUCCUUGAGAGCCUCCGUAUAUACACCGGAGUCGAGGAAAAAGUCAGAAAUAAUAAAAAUAUAAACACUUAAUGCUGUGUAAUGGGUUUUCUGGUCGGGACCCCCUUGGUGACAUACCACUGAGCCUCAUCUUUCUGGCAGCAAGGGCACCCCUUAACUCCGUCCUGCUGAGCCAGACCAUCCUGGUCUCCACAGAACAGACCCAGAGAUGGGACCACAUCUCUCUGCACAAGAGACAGUGAGACCCGCUCAGCCCUGGGGAGACGCUCGUUCGGGGCCAACGGCCAGCGAGCGCUCGUUCGGGUGGGAGUUCGAUGGAGUGUUUCGCCUGAUGGCAGGAGGGCUCUCAUCCUUCCCUAACACAAUCCCUCUCUGAGCUAAGCAGCCCCUGCCUCCACCUUCCACCCCUCCCAACGCCUCUCAGCGUUUUCCUGAACCUCUCCUCUCUGCCAGGCACUUCAGGGACUCAUGCCAGGGCUCCAUGUGCUGCAGCAUCCCGGCCUGUCUGGCCUGAGAAACUUGGACUUCGGGUGGCUGAAGCCUUGAACCAGGAGUUCCUGGCCACGCACAGCAGGGACAAGGCAGGGCUGUGCCAGCUGCAGCGAGAAGGUGCCCAACCCGGAGCAGCCGAACGCUGCGCUGCCCACAGAGCUGGGCCAGGCGUGUGCGUCAGCCUCUGCCAGGAGCAGGAGCAGGAUCUGGCCAUGC